GCCGAUGAUGUAGUGGUUAUAAUAUUGGAUUUGUAAUUCAAAGGAUGUUGGUUCAAUCCCACUCUCAGCA
rfam:Daphnia pulex DAPPTscaffold_4380_Cont15685, whole genome shotgun sequence.